CGGGGUGAGCAAUGUCUGGGAAACUGCCCGAUGGAGGGGGAUAACUACUGGAAACGGUAGCUAAUACCGCAUAACGUCGCAAGACCAAAGAGGGGGACCUUAGGGCCUCUUGCCAUCGGAUGUGCCCAGAUGGGAUUAGCUAGUAGGUGGGGUAAUGGCUCACCUAGGCGACGAUCCCUAGCUGGUCUGAGAGGAUGACCAGCCACACUGGAACUGAGACACGGUCCAG
rnacentral:rRNA from 1 species